AAUAGCGCAGGCACUGAACGGAGACAGCCGAUUCAGUAGACGAGGUAGAGGAGUAUCGAAACAUCAGCGGAUGCCUCUCGGCCGGCUUCAGUCGUUAUAUAAGUUACAAUGUCUAUCGGUGACGAUGAGAACAAAAG
rnacentral:ncRNA from 1 species